AAAACCUUAGUUGGCAGGAAGUCAUUCUCACAGCAUAGGCGUCGCCGGCCAAGCCAGAGACUUGUUACCAAGGAUACUUCAUACAAAGGUAAGCGUACAGGUUGCUCAAGACUAUGUUGGAUUACAGAGACCCUUAUAUCAUCCCCAAUGAUGCUAGCAAGGUGAAAAGGUCCAAAAACUACUACAUGUAGAGCAGAGGACCAUUGAGGGAAUGCAGAGGAAGUAGACUAGAAGAGCUCUGGCGCACUUUUUCUCGCUUUAAGGGACCCGAAAAUCCACUAAUGAUGCCUAGAUGUCCCUGAGAAUACCAACCUUAAGGAGAUUCUCACUCUCUCCUGCAAAACCAACACUAACAACUAGUAGCAUAAAUAAAAGAAGAAAUUCAUCACAACACAAACGCAGGUUCCCCACAUUAAAAAUCCUCUCCGUUUAAGGCUCAGACCAACGAAGCCACAAAAGAACUCAAAAAGCCUAUGUACAAUCCCUAAUUUGUGAGGAGAGGAUUAAACUCACAAUCCAGGUAAGGAGGAGGAGCUCCCCCUGCCCGAAAGGGACAAAUGAGAGUUCCACACUAAUGACAGAACAAAAGAGACAAGACU
rnacentral:misc_RNA from 1 species